GUGGGGAAUUUUGGACAAUGGGCGAAAGCCUGAUCCAGCCAUGCCGCGUGCAGGAUGAAGGCCUUCGGGUUGUAAACUGCUUUUGUACGGAACGAAAAGACUCCUUCUAAUAAAGGGGGUCCAUGACGGUACCGUAAGAAUAAGCACCGGCUAACUACGUGCCAGCAGCCGCGGUAAUACGUAGGGUGCAAGCGUUAAUCGGAAUUACUGGGCGUAAAGCGUGCGCAGGCGGUUAUAUAAGACAGAUGUGAAAUCCCCGGGCUCAACCUGGGAACUGCAAUUGUGACUGUAUAGCUAGAGGACGGUAGAGGGGGAUGGAAUUCCGCGUGUAGCAGUGAAAUGCGUAGAUAUGCGGAGGAACACCGAUGGCGAAGGCAAUCCCCUGGGCCUGCACUGACGCUCAUGCACGAAAGCGUGGGGAGCAAACAGGAUUAGAUACCCCAGUAGUCC
rnacentral:rRNA from 1 species